UAGCUCAGUUGGUAGAGCACCGGUCUCCAAAACCGGGUGUCGGGAGUUCGAGUCUCUCG
rnacentral:tRNA from 1 species